UACGUAGGGCGCAAGCGUUGUCCGGAAUUAUUGGGCGUAAAGAGCUCGUAGGCGGCCUGUCGCGUCCGCUGUGAAAUCCCGGGGCUUAACCCCGGGCGUGCAGUCGAUACGGGCAGACUAGAGUUCGGUAGGGGAGUCUGGAAUUCCUGGUGUAGCGGUGAAAUGCGCAGAUAUCAGGAGGAACACCGGUGGCGAAGGCGGGACUCUGGGCCGAUACUGACGCUGAGGAGCGAAAGCGUGGGGAGCAAACAGG
rnacentral:rRNA from 1 species